CGGAGUUAUGACGUCACGCUCGCGGUAACGGCGGAGGAGCGCGAGCCGCGAGCGCGCGCGGGUCCUUGGGUGCGUGCGUGCGCCGGCGCGCCAGUGCGCGUGCGCGCGUGCGUGCGCGAGGCUGGAGGAGCACAUGGACGACAGGAGGACGAGAUUUUUUUUUCCCUUUUAGCAGCGUUGCUAAUUAACUCAGCACAUCGUCUGGGGGAGAAGAAGAAAAAUAAAAAAAAGAAGAUAAUGGGGCGUCUUUUGUUGUUGUCUGAUCCCAUACGAGCAAAAAAAAAAAAAAAAAAAAAAAGGCCCCGUGCUCACCUGGCGAUUGGAGCAUCGGUCAGAGCGAAGUCCAGCUGUGAACAGGGUCUAGUGCACCUCGGAGACACACUGCCACUUUUUUUUUUUACUGAUGCAGCCUUUUGCCUGAGCAGCAAAGUAUCUUCGGUGUAAUGGAACAAAACGCCCUGACCCGCCUUUACACAGCAAUGGAUCGUGCUACUGUUCUAGAGGAAAAGCCUGCGCUGAGGACGUAGGUGUAAACAGAAGAUCUGCCCUGGGUCUUCAGAAUAACGCGGUCCAUAUUUUAUUGGGACCUUUUGUUGCGGGUGGUCUUCGGGGCGGCGACGACGCGGCAAUCUGACGAAUGCAAAACCAAAACAGCCAGUUCAGGAUCGUCAGACUGAGCAUCAGUCUCGCCUCUGUUCCAGGCAAACACUAAUAGAGAACUGACCCAGCUGCAGGAAGUGAAGCAGACAUAAAGGUUUAUUUUGCUCUGAAGAAGUACACACGUCGACAGGAAGUAGUAGUAGUAGUUUGUAGCAGAAGAUCUGCCUCCACCCAGGAAAUGUUUACAGUGCAAUCAAAGUAUUCAUUGAGGUAUCUGGAAUGUCUGCGUCUGGCAGAUGUCCAAGAUUCAUGCUUCCUUGUGCUAAAGGGUUAGUGAAGAUCCAGCUUCUGUAGCCACUUUAUCCAGUAUCUGUGUUCAGUAGAGACCAUGCGAAACUCCUCAAGAUGGACCGAGGAUUCCCUGAAGCAACAUCACAACACCCUUACAUUAUAAAUCAUAACUACAAGGAUAACUAGACGGACAAGUCCAUGUUGAAAUUACCCAAAACACCACCCACAUGAUGAUUAGUAUGAACAUGCAUAUUAUUGAUGUAUUCAUCUUAGCUGAUAUGAGAUUUGUGACAUGACUGAGAUUUGCACCUGCUAAAUUCAGCACAGAUGUGUACAUGGCUAUAGCAUUUCUAUCUCCACACGUGCACAUGCAUACGACACUUUUAUAUUUACAGUGUCAAUGAUUUAUUAGUAAUGGAUCGUUUUUGUCCGUUACUCAUUCUGUUCUGUUCAGCAUGAGCUAUGCGCUAACCCGGUUUCUCCUCACCGCACACUGUUGGAAAGAUUUUAAUUGGUUAAUUAACAUGCUGCAUAUCCAGUGUUGCGUUUGCCUGCGCCCCCUGGCUUCUUUCUGUGCCAAAGUGAACGUGUGGAAUUGUCUGCACAGGUUGUUAACAGGUGCGAGUGUGUGAUGUAGUUAAUUAGUCGACGAUGCUCUGUUUAUGCUUUUUUCUUUUUUGGCAGCACCGUGAUUAUAUAACGAGGGCAAUCUUUCCUGUUAACAUCGAGUUAUAAACUAAUCCUCGAUUUAAAUUCAAUAAAGAUGCAACGGACAACUGUGCUCUGAGACUGUACAUACGCAUAAAAGAACACACGUGUUCAAACAACAACCUUGAGACAUUUGUAAAACAUUAACCGAGUUUUGAACCAUUUCAAUCUAUUGUAUGAUCAUAUAAAACUGUCAUAAAAAUGCGAAUAAACACGUUGUAAAACUUC